rnacentral:lncRNA from 8 species
GGACAGGGUGGUCUCCAUCGUCAGGAUGAAACUCACAGACAAACAUGAGAAUGAAGCAGGCAAACCCCUCCUGGCCCUCCUCCUGCUCGGUAUCCCCGCCCGUGUCUGCUUCUGUUGCAGGAAGGAGAUCUUCAAGAACAAAUCCCCGACACCAUCGCCAUCCAACUGGACAACCCCGAGACUCUGCACCCCCCUCCCGGCUACACCACGCCCGGAGGAGGGGUGUCCCCUGGACCUGGUGUCCCAGUCAGUGAUAGUUAGAUGGUGGCUUGGCUACCAAAUGGCACCCGAUUCUCGCUAUUCUCUAGGUCUCUGGUCAAAACGAGUUCACUUGGGAAUACGGUGCCAUUUGGGACAAAUCCCUUGUAGAAGUUGCCUUUAGGUUCCCCCUCUAAUCUGUUUCCCCUCGUCUCCCAUGCUGUACUACUGUAGUAAUGACAUUGUUGCGGUGAUGCAUGUUUUGUAGUUGAACGGUAUUAACUUGACGUGUGUUUUUCUGUGGUUAUUCCAGACGUUCUGUGUGUGUGUGUGUGUGUGUGUGUGUGUGUGUGUGUGUGUGUGUGUGUGUGUGUGUGUGUCGUUUUCUUAUCUUUGUCUUGUCAUGUACCAUAAUGUGUUUGAGUAUACAGAGGUCCUUCUGUCUAUCUAACUUUGGGAACUGUGGUUGUACUGUAUAGUAUCUGUUUAUGUACUGUUUAUGUACUGUAUAGUAUCUGUGUAUGUACUGUAUAGUAUCUGUUUAUGUACUGUAUAGUAUCUGUUUAUGUACUGUAUAGUAUCUGUUUAUGUACUGUACUUGUGUGUGUAUAUGUGUGUAUAUGUGUGUAUAUAUAUAUAGUAUUCAAAAUACUUUAUUUAUCCCACAAGGGGUAAGUAUGUAGGCUGGAGUGCAGAUACGUAAAAACAUAAUCACAACUACACAGCACCAAUAGUGUAUUUGAGUAUAUAAAAGUAUAUUUGAGUCCCUCUGUCUAACUCAGGGAACUGUGGUGCUCCACCAUGUACAGGGAGGUUACCCUCAGGUUCACCCUCCCCCAACUUCUCCCAGUCUGGGAUGCCAGACCAGCCUCAAUGGACCGGACCCCCACCUCAACUAGUGAGUCCAUCCAUCUCUCCUCUCUAUCCUUUAAUACUUCUCUCUCUCUCUCUCCCCCACAAACUAGUGAGUCCAUCCAUCUCUCCUCUCUAUCCUUUAAUACUUCUCUCUCUCUCUCUCUCUCUCUCUCUCUCUCUCUCUCUCUCUCCCCCCCAAACCAGUGAGCUCAUCUUUCUCUCUCUCUCUCCUUUACUCUUUCUCUCCAUCUGUUCAUUAUAUCAGUGUUCGGUAUGAUUCUUGUUAGGAAACCCUCGUAGUCCCCCUGUCAGGUGUGAAAAUCCUCAGGAGAAGAAACAAGGAAGAGAAAGUGUGACAGUGUUUUGUUUCAGUGCUUCAGCCCCCCCACAGUGGGAUGGCCCCCCGCACAACCAGCCACAGUACAAUCCUGGUGCUUCUCCGAUGGUGGGGCUUUAUACUCUUCUCUACUCUAUUCUACCCUACUCUACACUCUUAGAAAAAGGGGUUCCAAAAGGGUUCUUUGGCGGUCCCAAUACGAGAGCCCUUUUUGGUUUCAGGUAGAACCCUUUUGCGUUCCAUGUACAACCCUCUGCAGAAAGGGUGUGUGUGUGUGUGAGGGGUAUGCUCCGGUGAUGUACAGCGCCCCCUCAGGGAAGGAGGAGAUACAGAUGGAGAACAUGUCUCCAGCUGAUCCCCCUCCUUGCCCGUCCACCACCCUAGGUCAGUCCUCACUCACCCUCUCAUACACACAACACACCCUCUAACACACAUAUACGCACACCCUCUGACAUUGUUCCUCCCUCUUCCCCCCCAGGCCUCGUCGCCCGUCUCCCCGCCCGCCUCUGGCGCUGUGCACUCCACAGACGGAGCCUUCCUAUUCAACAUGGACACAGGAAAAAAACACCCCCACCAACUUCCUGUAGAAUCGGUCCAAUCGGUUAAUAUAGCCACGGCUCUGUGCCAGUACGGCUCAGUGACUGUUAUAUGGAUUGGAGAGGAAGCAGUAUGUUGUUGAUGUAACUGUGAACUAGACGACAUUGCCCCUCAGAUCACCUAUCCAGUGUUAUUUUUCUGACAUAAGACAUUGUAUUAUACCUUUUUACAAGGCCAUAUUUAGAUGACCCCUGUUAAACCAUGGGGCCUGUUUGCAAUUCAGCCAAUCGUGAAGAAUAGAGCUGACUACUUCAAAAUGGAGUUGCCUCAAUGGCGCAGCCCAUGCUGUCACGGAUGCUAGGAUGGUACAUGUACAAAGAUGAGUCCUCUAUCUCUAUGGUGCGGCCUUACAUUUUUGUAAUGUGUCUUUUUUUCCAAACUCAACAGUGAAGAUGGUAUCGAUCAAACACUGGUCGUGUUCCCCUGCUGAGACGUUGCAUGCAUCAGCCAAUGGUUGCGUGCCACGUCAUCGACUGUGCCGUCGGGCACCCGAUAGCUAUAACAUAUGCUUAGCUGAUACGUAAAAUAGCUAUCCAAGAGUUGUAAGAACUGACAUUCGUCAGCAACGUCUGAGGAGAGGAACACAACCGAUAACUGCCUUUCAGGGCUCUACCUGGAACCAAAAAUGGGGACAGCCGAAGAACCUUCUUGGAAUCAUUUUUUUCUAAGAGUAUCAUUAUCCAAUCAGAACAUUCAGAACCCACAUCACACCUAAUCAUACAAUCAGAAGCCACUAGGAAAACUCAUCAUCCACUCAAGAUAGACCAAGCAAACCUCUCCUCUUUACAAAAAUCAAAGGUCACUGAUAAUAGAAUGAUCUAAUAAAGGUAAAUGAAUCAAUAAACCAUUAUGAAUUAUUAGUUAUGUAGCAUGCUUAAUGAAUAAUCAAUGUUUUGAUCGAUUAGUCCGAUUAGUCCCAGAAAGUCUAGUAGAGGCUGGAGAGGGAGAGAAAUGUGUGUGUGUAUUUAGUGUGCCCAAGAGAGCAGGGGACAUAUGGUAGAGGGAGUAAAAAGUUCAAGGGUUUCCUAACGUUGAGGGAAAGGAACAGGCAGAGCAGGAUAGUGAUAAACAGUGUGGGAAGUCAAAGGGGGGAUGCAGUUAAACUGUUGGUGGUGUGUACUGGUAAAUGCAUGUGCGUGAGUAAAGAGAGAAAAUAUAUAAUGGCUGUUUUGUUAUCUUGACCUCAGAACGUUCUCUGAAUAAAGCCGAAU